AAGUUGUUGCAGUUGAAAAGGUCACAGUUGGACUUUGGGCCGGGUCGGCCAGUCUGCCUCACGGAGAGCACCGACCUACUAGACCCUUCGGCCGACAUCGUGCUCCUAGCCUUAUUUAGUCGGGCCGUGUUUCCAGCAUCGUUACUUUGAAGAAAUUAGAGUGCUCAAAGGAAGCCAUCGCUUUGGAUACAUUAGCAUGGGAUAACAUUAUAGGAUUUUAGUCUCAUUGUGUUGGCCUUCAGGAUCUGAGUAAUGAUUAAUAAGGACAGUCGGGGCAUUUGUAUUUCAUAGUCAGAGGUGAAACCCUUGGUGAGGGAAUCCUGGAUUAGGGGGUAUCCGGACAGCCGGACUAUAUCCUUUGGCCGGACUGUUGGGCUAUGAAGAUACAAGAUUGAAGACUUCGUCCCGUGUCCG
rnacentral:ncRNA from 1 species